UUCCAUAUGACAAGCCUUUCAAUUCAUAAACAAUACUUAAACGACCCUUGACUAUGCAAAAUCAGAGUGUUGAAUAGAGUUCUGUGAUUGGUUCGCUUAUGUUACGCACUUCACUCCGCUAACUGACAUGACAUUCCUGUCAUUCAAACGGUGCAACGGUUUAUAAGUGUCGUUAUUUUGUGGAUUUGUGAAUUAAAUAAUAUAAAUAAAUAUGGAUAAAACUACAACUAUCAGGCUCACACAUCAACUGAAAAGCUGCUGGAAUAAUUUAAAGACCCAAAGAAUGAAAGAACUUUCUCAGGAAUCAAUCAAACGUUCUCAACACCCACUAGUAGGUAUCAAGAAAUUAAGAUUAGUAGUAGCAAGAAUGAAGAUUAAGACAGAAACAAGAAUCAAACGCACCACAUUGAAUAAUAUAUAACAAGACCAGGCUUUGCACGAGUUGGGGCUACAAAGAGAAAAAAUAUUGAUAGAAAGAGAAAACAAUUUGUUAGAACAUGAAAAAAAG